GCCGUAAACGAUGUCUACUUGGAGGUUGUGCCCUUGAGGCGUGGCUUCCGGAGCUAACGCGUUAAGUAGACCGCCUGGGGAGUACGGCCGCAAGGUUAAAACUCAAAUGAAUUGACGGGGGCCCGCACAAGCGGUGGAGCAUGUGGUUUAAUUCGAUGCAACGCGAAGAACCUUACCUGGUCUUGACAUCCACAGAACUUUCCAGAGAUGGAUUGGUGCCUUCGGGAACUGUGAGACAGGUGCUGCAUGGCUGUCGUCAGCUCGUGUUGUGAAAUGUUGGGUUAAGUCCCGCAACGAGCGCAACCCUUAUCCUUUGUUGCCAGCGGUUAGGCCGGGAACUCAAAGGAGACUGCCAGUGAUAAACUGGAGGAAGGUGGGGAUGACGUCAAGUCAUCAUGGCCCUUACGACCAGGGCUACACACGUGCUACAAUGGCGCAUACAAAGAGAAGCGACCUCGCGAGAGCAAGCGGACCUCAUAAAGUGCGUCGUAGUCCGGAUUGGAGUCUGCAACUCGACUCCAUGAAGUCGGAAUCGCUAGUAAUCGUGGAUCAGAAUGCCACGGUGAAUACGUUCCCGGGCCUUGUACACACCGCCCGUCACACCAUGGGAGUGGGUUGCAAAAGAAGUAGGUAGCUUAACCUUCGGGAGGGCGCUUACCACUUUGUGAUUCAUGACUGGGGUGAAGUCGUAACAAGGUAACCGUAGGGGAACCUGCGGUUGGAUCACCUCCUUACCUUAAAGAAGC
rnacentral:rRNA from 2 species